CAGCCGCCGCGGUAAUACGGAGGAUCCGAGCGUUAUCCGGAAUUAUUGGGUUUAAAGGGUGCGUAGGCGGACAGAUAAGUCAGUGGUGAAAGACGGUGGCUCAACCAUCGCAGUGCCGUUGAUACUGUUUGUCUUGAAUAUGGAUGAGGUAGGCGGAAUGUGGCAAGUAGCGGUGAAAUGCAUAGAUAUGCCACAGAACACCGAUUGCGAAGGCAGCUUACCAAGGCAAUAUUGACGCUGAGGCACGAAAGCGUGGGGAUCGAACAGGAUUAGAUACCCCUGUAGUCCCUGUCUCUUAUAC
rnacentral:rRNA from 1 species